rnacentral:lncRNA from 1 species
GUUGCAAACAAAUGAUUAUAUUGUGAAAACUAUCAGGACUACGGCUUAGCCGUUGACAUGUUUAGUGGCAGUAGGGAUAGCUGAACGUUUUGAUAUAAGAUUUGUGUAGGUGGGCCUGAAAAUAAGGGAGUGGUGGCAGUUUAGAAAUCAUGUCCUGAUUUUUCAGCUUUUGGCAGCUCCCACUCUAGCUUUGCCAUUCAUUCCUAUGGGGCAAAUUGCACCACAAAAACGACGAUAUUCCGUGAACCAUUCGGCGAAACGUUCCACAAAGUAAUAGCAAUCCGAUCGGGAACAAUCUGCACGUUUUGGUAAAUUUUGGUCUAUGUAGUGUAAAAACUGUGGGAGGAGUUAGGGUGGCAAAUUUUGCUAUAAUAAUAAUAAGAACUAGAAAAGUUACAAUUUCUGGGGAAAUUGUGUGAAGUGUUCUUGCCUCCACCUGUAGUCUACAACUGGAGUGGGCGGAGUAACUGUUAUCAUUUACAUAGCACAUUUAAUUGCAACGUUGCUGCACAGUUACAUUAAACCAUACAUUUAUAAAAACAUUAGCAGGUGUUCAAAAGGCCCUGUCUAUGACAUCACUUGCUGCUGCAGCUUGACACAGGUCAGAGUAUUUUGGUGGUUGCCAUCUUCAAACGGUUGUAUCUUAAAAACUAUAAAUCCUACAGCGAAGAGCUUUAUAUUGUGAGAAUCACAAGACCCAGACCCACAUUUUGAUGCAUAGUAUGUCUCUGAAGUAUUAAAAUUGAAGUCACAGUCGCAGUUUAGAAAUUGCAAUUCAAAUUUGAGCUUUGCAGAGUGAAGUUUCAAUGAAAGUCAAUGGACGGCGUUAGUUGCAACAAAUGAUUAUAUUGUGAAAACUAUCAGGACUACGGCUUAGCCGUUGACAUGUUUAGUGGCAGCAGGGAUAGCUGAACGUUUUGAUAUAAGAUUUGUGUAGGUGGGCUUGAAAAUGAGGGAGUGGUGGCAGUUUAGGAAUCAUGUCCUGAUUUUUCAGCUUUUGCCAGCUCCCACUCUAGUUUUGAACAUUUUGCCAUUCAUUCCUAUGGGACCAAUUUCUCCACAAGAACGACGAUAUUCCGUGAACCAUUCGGCAAAACGUUCCACAAAGUAAUAGCACACCAAUCGGGAACAAUCCACACAUUUCGGUAUAUUACUGUCUAUGUAGUGUAAAAACUGUGGGAGGAGUUAGGGUGGCAAAUUUUACAUAAUAGCAUACGAAGAAUAUAUAUGUGAGGAUAACAAUAAGUGGUCUUGCUAAGUGCAAGAACACUUAACUAGAAAAGUUACAAUUUCAGGGGAAAUUGUGUGAAGUGUUCUUGCCUCCACCAGUCUACAACUGGAGUGGGCGGAGUAACUGUUAUCAUUUAUAUAGCACAUUUAAUUGCAACGUUGUUGCACAGUUACAUUAAACCAUACAUUUAUAAAAACAUUAGCAGGUGUUCAAAAGGCCCUGUCUAUGACAUCACUUGCUGCUGCAGCUUGACACAGGUCAGAGUAUUUUGGCGGUUGCCAUCUUCAAACGGUCGUAUCUUUAAAAACUGUAUCUCCUACAGUGAAGAGCUUUAUAUUGUGAGAAUCACAAGACCCAGACCUACAUUUUGAUGCAUAGUAUGUCUCUGAAGUAUUAAAAUUGAAGGCCACGCAGUUUAGAAAUUGCACUUCAAAUUUGAGCUUUGCAGAGUGAAGUUUCAAUGAAUGUCAAUGGAUGGCGUUAGAUGCAAACAAAUGAUUAUAUUGUGAAAACUAUCAGGACUAUGGCUUAGCCAUUGACAUGUUUAGUGGCAGCAGGGAUAGCUGAACGCUUUGAUAUAAGAUUUGUGUAGGUGGGCAUGAAAAUAAGGGAGUGGUUGCAGUUUAGAAAUCAUGUCCUGAUUUUUCAGCUUUUGGCAGCUCCCACUCUAGCUUUGCCAUUCAUUCCUAUGGGACAAAUUGCGCCACAAAAACGACGAUAUUCCGCGAACCAUUCGGCGAAACGUUCCACAAAGUAAUAGCAAUCCGAUCGGGAACAAUCUGCACGUUUUGGUAAAUUUUUGUCUAUGUAGUGCAAAAACUGUGGGAGGAGUUAGGGUGGCAAAUUUGGCUAUAAUAAGAAAUACACAAGGUGGUAAAUUUUGCUAUAAUAAUAAGCAAGCACAAUAAUAAUAAUAAUAUAUAUGUGAGAUAACAUUAAGUGGUUCUUUAAGGCGCAAGAACACUUAAUAAUAUAUAUGUGAGAUAACAUUAAGUGGUCUUGCUAUGCAAAAACAAUUAACUAGAAAAGCUACAAUUUGGGAAAUUGUGUGAAGUGUUCGCCCACCCAGUAGUCUACAACUGGGAGUGGGCUUAAUUUAACCGUUAUAACACCUCUAUAUAAACACGUUGCUGUACAAAGCUACAUUAAACCACAUUUGGCAAAACAUUAGCAGGUGUUCAAAAGGCCCUGUCUAUGACAUCACUUGCUGCUGCAGCCUGGCACAGGUCAGAGUAUCUUGGCGGUUGCCAUCUUCAAACGUAUUUUAUCAAUCCUACAGCAAAGAGCUUUAUAUUGUGAGAAUCACAAGACCCAGACCUACAUUUUGAUGCAUAGUAUGUCUCUGAAGUAUUAAAAAUGAAGGCACAGUCGCAGUUUAGAAAUUGCACUUCAAAUUUGAGCUUUGUAGAGUGAAGUUUCAAUGAAUAUCAAUGGACGGCGUUAGUUGCAAACAAAUGAUUAUAUUGUGAAAACUAUCAGGACUAUGGCUUAGCCGUUGACAUGUUUAGUGGCAACAGGGAUAGCUGAACGUUUUGAUAUAAGAUUUGUGUAGGUGGGCCUGAAAAUAAGGGAGUGGUGGCAGUUUAGAAAUCAUGUCCUGAUUUUUCAGCUUUUGGCAUCUCCCACUCUAGCUUUGCCAUUCAUUCCUAUGGGACAAAUUUCGCCACAAGAACGACGAUAUUCCGUGAACCAUUCGGCGAAACGUUCCACAAAGUAAUAGCAAUCCGAUCGGGAACAAUCUGCACGCUUUGGUAAAUUUUUGUCUAUGUAGUGUAAAAACUGUGGGAGGAGUUAGGGUGGCAAAUUUUGCUAUAAUAAUAAGAAUAAUAAUAAUAACUAGAAAAGCUACAAUUUCUGGGGAAAUUGUGUAAAGUGUUCUUGCCUCCACCAGUAGUCUACAACUGGAGUGGGCGGAGUAACUGUUAUUAUUUAUAUAGCACAUUUAAUUGCAACGUUGUUGCACAGUUACAUUAAACCAUACAUUUAUAAAAACAUUAGCAGGUGUUCAAAAGGCCCUGUCUAUGACAUCACUUGCUGCUGCAGCUUGACACAGGUCAGAGUAUUUGGUGGUUGCCAUCUUCAAACGGUCGUAUCUUAAAAACUAUAACUCCUACAGUGAAGAGCUUUAUAUUGUGAGAAUCACAAGACCCAGACCUACAUUUUGAUGCAUAGUAUGUCUCUGAAGCAUUAAAAAUGAAGGCACAGUCGCAGUUUAGAAAUUGCACUUCAAAUUUGAGCUUUGCAGAGUGAAGUUUCAAUGAAUGUCAAUGGACGGCGUUGGUUGCAAACAAAUGGUCAUAUUGUGAAAACUAUCAGGACUACGGCUUAGCCGUUGACAUGUUUAGUGGCAGCAGGGAUAGCUGAACGUUUUGAUAUAAGAUUUGUGUAGGUGGGCCUGAAAAUAAGGGAGUGGUGGCAGUUUAGAAAUCAUGUCCUGAUUUUUCAGCUUUUGCCAGCUCCCACUCUAGCUUUGCCAUUCAUUCCUAUGGGACAAAUUGCGCCACAAAAACGACUAUAUUCCGUGAACCAUUCGGCGAAACGUUCCACAAAGUAAUAGCAAUCCGAUCGGGAACAAUCUGCACGUUUUGGUAAAUUUUUGUCUAUGUAGUGUAAAAACUGUGGGAGGAGUUAGGGUGGCAAAUUUUGCUAUAAUAAUAAUAAUAAUAAUAAUAAUAAUAAUAUAUGGCGUGAGAUAACAUUGCGAAAGUUCUAAGGCGCAAGAACACUUAAUAAUAUAUAUGUGAGAUAACAUUGCGGAGCCCUGCUAAGUGCAAGAACACUUAACUAGUAGUGCCACAAUUUCGGGGAAAUUGUGUAGUGUUCUUGCCUCCACCAGUAGUCUACAACUGGAGUGGGCAGAGUAACUGUUAUCAUUUACAUAGCACAUUCAAUUGCAACGUUGUUGCACAGUUACAUUAAACCAUACAUUUAUAAAAACAUUAGCAGGUGUUCAAAAGGCCCUGUCUAUGACAUCACUUGCUGCUGCAGCCUGACACAGGUCAGAGUAUUUUGGCAGUUGCCAUCUUCAAACGGUCGUAUUUUAAAAACUAUAAAUCCUACAGCGAAGAGCUUUAUAUUGUGAGAAUCACAAGACCCAGACCUACAUUUCGAUGUAUAGUAUGUCUCUGAAGUAUUAAAAAUGAAGGUACAGUCGCAGUUUAGAAAUUGCACUUCAAAUUUGAGCUUUGCAGAGUGAAGUUUCAAUGAAAGUCAAUGGACGGCGUUAGUUGCAAACAAAUGAUUAUAUUGUGAAAACUAUCAGGACUAUGGUUUAGCCGUUGACAUGUUUAGUGGCAGGAGGGAUAGCUGAACGUUUUGAUAUAAGAUUUGUGUAGGUGGGCCUGAAAAUAAGGGAGUGGUGGCAGUUUAGAAAUCAUGUCCUGAUUUUUCAGCUUUUGCCUGCUCCCACUCUAGCUUUGCCAUUCAUUCCUAUGGGACAAAUUUCACCACAAGAACGACGAUAUUCCGUGAACCAUUCGGCGAAACGUUCCACAAAGUAAUAGCAAUCCGAUCGGGAACAAUCUGCACGUUUUGGUAAAUUUUGUCUAUGUAGUGUAAAAACUGUGGGAGGAGUUAGGGUGGCAAAUUUUGCUAUAAUAAUAAUAAUAAUAACUAGAAAAGUUACAAUUUCUGGGGAAAUUGUGUGAAGUGUUCUUGCCUCCACCUGUAGUCUACAACUGGAGUGGGCGGAGUAACUGCUAUCAUUUAUAUAGCACAUUCAAUUGCAACGUUGUUGCACAGUUACAUUAAACCAUACAUUUAUAAAACAUUAGCAGGUGUUCAAAAGGCCCUGUCUAUGACAUCACUUGCUGCUGCAGCCUGACACAGGUCAGAGUAUUUUGGCGGUUGCCAUCUUCAAACGGUUGUAUCUUAAAAACUAUAACUCCUACAGCGAAGAGCUUUAUAUUGUGAGAAUCACAAGACCCAGACCUACAUUUUGAUGCAUAGUAUGUCUCUGAAGUAUUAAAAAUGAAGGCACAGUCGCAGUUUAGAAAUUGCACUUCACAUUUGAGCUUUGCAGAGUGAAGUUUCAAUGAAUGUCAAUGGACGGCGUUGGUUGCAAACAAAUGGUCAUAUUGUGAAAACUAUCAGGACUACGGCUUACAUGUUUAGUGGCAGCAGGGAUAGCUGAACGUUUUGAUAUAAGAUUUGUGUAGGUGGGCUUGAAAAUGAGGGAGUGGUGGCAGUUUAGAAAUCAUGUCCUGAUUUUUCAGCUUUUGGCAGCUCCCACUCUAGCUUUGCCAUUCAUUCC